rnacentral:rRNA from 1 species
UACGGAGGGUGCAAACGUUGCUCGGAAUCAUUGGGCGUAAAGGGCUCGUAGGCGGUUCGUCACGUCGGGAGUGAAAACUCGGAGCUUAACUCCGAGCCUGCUUCCGAUACGGGCAGACUAGAGGUAGGCAGGGGAGAGCGGAACUCCUGGUGUAGCGGUGGAAUGCGCAGAUAUCGGGAAGAACACCGGUGGCGAAGGCGGCUCUCUGGGCCUUACCUGACGCUGAGGAGCGAAAGCGUGGGUAGCGAACAGG